rnacentral:sRNA from 1 species
GCUGCUCUGCUUAUGGAGUAGCCAUUCUUUAUUUCUUUACUUUGUUAAUAACUUACUUGCUUUCACUUUACUCUAUGGACUUGCCCCAAAUUCUUUCUUGUGGGAGAUCCAAGAACACUCUCUUGGGGUCUGGAUCGGGACCCCUUUCUGUUACCACCACCACCAGCUUUCUUGGGUCUCCAGCUUGCAGAUGGCAGAUUGUGGGACUUACUUCUUAGCCUUCAUAACUGCAUGACCAAUUUGUCAUAUUAAAUCUUAUUUUCUUUAUAUAUAUCUCCAUCCUACUGGUUUUUCUGGAGAACCCUAAUACAUUUCCCAUCUCUCUGCAGCUAGAAUCAGCCAAAAACAUAUAAGGAGACUCCACCAGGAGUGGGGAGUUCUCGGGAAAGCUUUUGCUUCAGAAAAAAGAUCAAAGUACACAGGAGAGCUGUCUGGUGCCAUUCCUUGAGCAUGUGAGAGACUGUGUCACUGGGAGCAGCAGUUACCUGUGGUCAUAAGUUGAGAUGACUGGAUGAAAUGCUAAAAUGUUGAGAAGACAAUGCAUAGGAGUGAAUGAGACAGAAAGCAAGACCAUCAGGAUGACUAAGAAGAGCAAGUACAACAUGGCUGAGACUAAGUGUCCAGGGAGUUGAGAAUAAGUGGCCUAUUGUCAUGUCCUAUAUAAGUAGAGUAUAU